GUAAUAUAUAGAUAACGUGCCUCUUAGUCUGGGAUAGCCAUUGGAAACGAUGAUUAAUACCGGAUACUCCUUCUAACUCUAAUGUUAGUCGGGAAAGUUUUUCGCUAAGAGAUCGGUCUAUAUCCCAUCAGUUAGUUGGUAAGGUAACGGCUUACCAAGGCAAUGACGGGUAGCGGGUUUGAGAGGAUGAUCCGCCACACUGGUACUGAGACACGGACCAGACUCCUACGGGAGGCAGCAGUGAGGAAUAUUGCACAAUGGGGGAAACCCUGAUGCAGCAACGCCGCGUGGAGGAUGACGCAUUUCGGUGUGUAAACUCCUUUUAUGAGUCAAGAAAAUGACGGUAGCUCAUGAAUAAGCACCGGCUAACUCCGUGCCAGCAGCCGCGGUAAUACGGAGGGUGCAAGCGUUACUCGGAAUCACUGGGCGUAAAGGACGCGUAGGCGGGAUGCCAAGUCUGAUGUGAAAUCCUAUGGCUUAACCAUAGAACUGCAUUGGAAACUGGUAACCUAGAGUAUGGGAGGGGGAGAUGGAAUUAGUGGUGUAGGGGUAAAAUCCGUAGAUAUCACUAGGAAUACCGAAAGCGAAGGCGAUCUCCUGGAACAUUACUGACGCUAAGGCGUGAAAGCGUGGGGAGCAAACGGGAUUAGAUACCCCGGUAGUCCACGCCCUAAACGAUGUUCACUAGUCGUCGGGAUGCUUGUCAUCUCGGUGAUGCACUUAACAGAUUAAGUGAACCGCCUGGGGAGUACGGUCGCAAGAUUAAAACUCAAAGGAAUAGACGGGGACCCGCACAAGUGGUGGAGCAUGUGGUUUAAUUCGAAGAUACGCGAAGAACCUUACCUGGCCUUGACAUUGAUAGAACACACUAGAGAUAGAGUGGUGCCCUUUCGGGGAGCUUGAAAACAGGUGCUGCACGGCUGUCGUCAGCUCGUGUCGUGAGAUGUUGGGUUAAGUCCCGCAACGAGCGC
rnacentral:rRNA from 1 species